rnacentral:rRNA from 1 species
UACGUAGGGAGCAAGCGUUGUCCGGAAUCAUUGGGCGUAAAGCGCGCGUAGGCGGCCUCAUAAGUCCGUUGUGAAAGUCAAAGGCUCAACCUUUGAAAGCCGAUGGAUACUGUGAGGCUAGAGUCCGGAAGAGGCGAGUGGAAUUCCCGGUGUAGCGGUGAAAUGCGCAGAUAUCGGGAAGAACACCCGUGGCGAAGGCGGUUCUCUGGGCCUGACCUGACGCUGAGGAGCGAAAGCAUGGGGAGCGAACAGG